rnacentral:rRNA from 1 species
UACGUAGGCAGCAAGCGUUGUUCGGAAUUACUGGGCGUAAAGAGUGUGUAGGCGGUGCUCUAAGUUUGGUGUGAAAUCUCCCGGCUCAACUGGGAGGGUGCGCCGAAAACUGGAAUGCUUGAACGUGGGAGAGGAAAGCGGAAUUCCUGGUGUAGCGGUGAAAUGCGUAGAUAUCAGGAGGAACACCUGCGGUGUAGACGGCUUUCUGGACCAUUGUUGACGCUGAGACACGAAAGCGUGGGUAGCAAACAGG